rnacentral:rRNA from 1 species
UACCAGCACCCCGAGUGGUCGGGACGAUUAUUGGGCCUAAAGCAUCCGUAGCCGGCCUUACAAGUCCUCCGUUAAAUCCAGCUGCUUAACAGAUGGGCUGCGGAGGAUACCAUAAGACUAGGAGGCAGGAGAGGCAAGCGGUACUCAGUGGGUAGGGGUAAAAUCCGUUGAUCCAUUGAAGACCACCAGUGGCGAAGGCGGCUUGCCAGAAUGCGCUCGACGGUGAGGGAUGAAAGCUGGGGGAGCAAACCGG